rfam:Ictidomys tridecemlineatus contig039429, whole genome shotgun sequence.
GGCGUUGUAGCUCAGUGGUAGAGCACUUGCCUUGUACGUGUGAGGCACUGUGUUCGAUUCCCAGCACCGCAU